AAGGGCUUACUCCAGGGCCUUCGUUCCUUUUUCAGUCCCUGGAGCAGGUGGGCCUUGGGGAAGACGUGGGGGGAAAGUGGCUGGAAAAUGAAGGGGGAGAGAGAAAGGAGGCAGUGUGGUGGGACAUACUUCUUAGUCACUUUAGGACCUUGUUUGGGUGCCCUGACGAGGGCCGUGCUCCAUGCCCGGCCAGCUGCAGGGUUUGCGGAAGGGAGCACUCGGCUCGCCAGGCUCCGGGCUUCCCUUGAGCAGCACGUCACCUCUAGUGGCCAGGCUGUCCUCUCUCCCCACUGUCGUUCCACUCUCACGAGCAACUCUAAUUGGUUCUCCUUUUACCUAGGCGUUCGGUUGCCAAGCUCCAGUUUCAAAGAACCAAAUGAAGCUAACGUGAAAAGGGCAGUGAGGAAAACAAGAGGGAAGAGGAAGGGUUGGGAUCCUCUGCGCAGAGACUUCAGUUCCCCUCGCAGCCCUGGAGCUGGGAAGAAGCACACUGCCAUCCUCUCUGAGCGGGGCUCCCCCAGGUCACGGCGGCCCCGUGCUGUCCUGGAACUGGAUGAGCGAGCUCCUUGGAAAAACUGGAAGACGUCUCAACACUGUUUCUUUUUUCAGAAGUUUUGUUUUGAAUGUUUGCAUUUCUCGGUACGGAACACUCACCCUAAAGGCAGCCGGGGGUUUGUGCCCAUUGGAUUGGAAGUGGUGCCAAGGGUGAGCAGGUCCAAAGCAAGGGAGGGGAGGGCAAGGGAGGGGAAGGCAGAACGCAGGUCUUCAUGGUUGACCUUGAAGAAGAGAAGGAGGCAGACGUGCACAUCAAGCCAGGGGUUUCUGAGGGCUGAGACUCUGCCUCUCUUUUAGCGCGGGUGGCUUCAGUAGGAGCAGGAAAGAAAGGAGGGUGGGUGAUGCACUGGACAGAAACUGGCACGUGGGUGACGGCUGCUCUGCUGGCGCCAAAGGCAGAACGCAGGUCUUCAUGGUUGACUUUGAAGAAGAGAAGGAGGCAGACGUGCACAUCAAGCCAGGGGUUUCUGAGGGCUGAGACUCUGCCUCUCUUUUAGCGCGGGUGGCUUCAGUAGGAGCAGGAAAGAAAGGAGGGUGGGUGAUGCACUGGACAGAAACUGGCACGUGGCCUCUGCUGGGGGCAGUAGUGACUCCUCGCUCGCAUCCUUUCCUUUGAAGGUUUAGGAACCUGAUUUCAGAAUCACCUCUCAUAGAAGCUGUGUUCGUUUGGUUUGACUGAAUUCCCAAAUUCUGUGACCUCAAGUUAGCCCUGUUCCCCCUCUACCCUCAGCCCGUUCCCUCAAGAUAACCGUACAUUUCCCUCUGGUCAUGAUAACAUCAUUCCUACAGCUUCUGCCUGCUGUCGAGGCCGUAGUUUUUCUCAUCACCGGAGCCGUUCAGAGCUCUGGUCCCGGGCUGCUGAAGUUAAUGGUGCAUGCUUCCAGAUUCUUAAUGGCAAACCGUCCCCGUGACUUAGGAGUCGGCGUGACUUACCUCCAUAUGUCUGUCAGCUAGUGAGAGGGAAUGCGGAGGAAGGUGAGAAACGAAGCUAUUGUCGUGGCGCUCUUCCUCGAGAAAGCUCCCUGGCGUCUCAGCCUUAAUGGGCUGUCUUAGAUCAGUGAGGAGGAGGGCAUUACAGCUCGUGUUCUUAGGUGUGUCUGGAGCAGGA
ensembl:lncRNA